UACGUAGGGUGCGAGUGUUGUCCGGAAUUAUUGGGCGUAAAGGGCUCGUAGGCGGUUUGUUGCGUCGGAAGUGAAAACUCAGGGCUUAACCCUGAGCCUGCUUCCGAUACGGGCAGACUAGAGGUAUGCAGGGGAGAACGGAAUUCCUGGUGUAGCGGUGAAAUGCGCAGAUAUCAGGAGGAACACCGGUGGCGAAGGCGGUUCUCUGGGCAUUACCUGACGCUGAGGAGCGAAAGUGUGGGGAGCGAACAGG
rnacentral:rRNA from 1 species